UACGUAGGGGGCAAGCGUUGUCCGGAAUCAUUGGGCGUAAAGAGCGUGUAGGCGGUUCGGUAAGUCGGCUGUGAAAGUCCAGGGCUCAACCCUGGGAUGCCGGUCGAUACUGCCGGACUAGAGUUCGGAAGAGGCGAGUGGAAUUCCCGGUGUAGCGGUGAAAUGCGCAGAUAUCGGGAGGAACACCUAUGGCGAAGGCAGCUCGCUGGGACGUUACUGACGCUGAGACGCGAAAGCGUGGGGAGCAACAGG
rnacentral:rRNA from 1 species